AAAAACUGCUCCCCUGAUUCUGGAAGGGCUUUGGUAGAGCCAUGGGUGCACCUGCGUAAAUGCACGGUGGGAACAAGUCAAGGGGCCUUGUCUGGGAUUAGGAACUGACACGUGGACUCCUGCCAACCUGCAGCAUCACAGUUCCAGUCUGCAAAAAUAACACAC
rnacentral:lncRNA from 12 species